UUCGUAGUGACCUGCGGAAGGAUCAUUA
rnacentral:rRNA from 1 species